ACUCCCACCCCACCCGCCUAACCCUAGCGCCCUUUCUCCUUCCCCUCCAUCCCACCAGCCGCCGCACCCCUCCCUCUCUCCCUCAUCCUCUCCUCACCCGCAGCCGCCGGCCUUCUCUCCACUCGCCUCCUCCUCUCCUCUACCACGUUGUCGUCGAUCCACCGCCGGCCUUCUCCUCUGCUUGCCUAGGUCAUCGUCGUGGGAGAGCAGCGGCGGCGGGGUCUUCGCGGUGCGGAUGGGGCUGUAGGGGAAGGAGGAAGCCGGCGAGGAAGGGGGGAAGGAGCUGGGUGAGCGAUCCUAGCGGGUGGGAAGGGGCAGGGCGAGGCCUCGCGCACCUGCCGGCGGCCGGCAGGUCGAAUUGUUGCGCCACCGCGUCGUCGCCUCCUCUGCGCCAUGAGGUGCCACCUCUGCCUCCACCCCCCCCCCCCCCCCCCCCCCCCCCCCACCAGGCUAGGAGCUCGAGGUGAACAGGCGGUGGGAAGGCGAGAGGAAGCAGGAGCUCAUCUCUCCUUCAAUGGCUGCCUCAUGCAUCUGGAGUAUAAGGAGGACAACACGUGCCUGUUGGAGGCGACUUGAGCGAUGCAGGCCAGCGGCGAACUAGAGAUUCGAAAGUGGUCUUCUUCCAAUGGCUCUAAUGGAUGUGCACUCUUGUCUCCGUCAUUAUACCUAUUUUGGAAUCCAUGGCAGCAUGUUGUGCUUUGUCGGCACAUUUGUGCAUGUGUGAGGUCGCAGAUGAACAAGCACCGAAUGCUCAUUAUAUUCUCCUCUGCUCUGAUCUUCUAUAGACAUAUCUAAGAUGUACUUUAUUUCCUGGUAUUUCCUGAGAUUCUGGACUGAUUGUUUGACAGUGACUAUUAUGUAAAAAUGUUUUCAGUUGCUGUUUAGUAUGGAUGCCUCCAUGGUUGCAUAGGCAUCCAUGGUUCUGUGAGGAGGUUAUCUAUGCCGUUCUGUUUUAUAUAGAUGUCUAAUUAGGUAAGCAAUCACACAUGGUCCUGUUAUUUGUUUGUUUCUUUUGAUCAUCUUGAUGUUGAGUUGCGGGUUUAAGCAUUUUUCCUUGAAAUGUUUAUAUGUGUGUCCAGUUGUUUUUGAUGGUCUGUGAUUUUGUUUGUGUUUAGUUUACACAUCUCUCCUGAGGAUCUUGCUACCCAGCUGUAUUGCUAUAUUUCCUAUAAUACUGAAUUAAUUGUAUUUGUACUGUUUUGGCAGCCCUAACAGAUAGACAGAGGUCUCUACUGGCUCAGAAUACUUGACAUGAGGCACGUGUAAAAUUGAUUGUCUCUGGUUACUCUCGUGAUCUGUAUCCAAAGGGCAACUCAGGUCUUGGAAUGCUGAGGUGAGACUUUCCAUGGCCUCUGUUUUUCUUGCUGGGUGGAUUCCACGUUACUUCCUUGGAUGUUUAAAGGUUAUUAUAUCCUUGCUCCCCUUUUUAUCGGCAAGCAUUCUCUCAUCUUCCGGUAACUCGAGUAAGAUGCAACACACUAAUGCUUUCUUAGUCUGGUUUGUUCUUGCAAAAAAUAAUUGAAGUGUGCAGACAGGCAGAAUGGAAACACUAAAGAGAAGUUUCAUACGUACUAAUAGCUGGAGUGAUUUCAUACCUGUAGUAACCGUCUCAGAAGAAAUAAGUUUCAGCUAUUUCUAAAGAUAUUAGAUCAUAAGAUUAUUCUUCAGUUAAGAUGUUUGCCAUGGACUAAUGUGUAUACGGCUGGAGUGGUCCAGAUUUGUUACAAGCUCCUUGUGUUGAGGAACGUCAAAGUGGGGAAGUUUCUAUUAUUUUCGAAACUAUUAUUCAAAUGCUGAAGUGUAAUUUAUCACACCCCUGAGCCAUAAGAUAUACACAUUUUACUGUACAGUCACUAAGCCUAUGUUAUCAAGUUUUAUCUUAGUAGUGUAUUACCAAUGUUUACAACUGUCCAAGUAGUGUGUUUCAAAAAUAGAAGCAAUGUGGCUCACACUGAUCAAUCACAUGUUUUAUCUCAACGGAUUUUCUAAAUUUUGACAUGCUGUUUUGAAGUAUAUAUUGGCAUGAUGCUGAAAAAGGACCUGAGAGGUGAAGUUUUAUUAUCUAUCCUGGUAGAAUAAUCCAAAGAAGAUAUGUUUUACUAACCAAUCUAUAUGCCUAACUGUGCUGCUAUUGUUAUUAUUUUCUUAAUGGAUGCGCCUAAAAUUGUUUUGGUGCUCUUCUACCAAGAUUGACCAAAUGAGUGUUCUGCUAAAGUAAAAGUCGUAAGACUGAAAUAACAUGGGUCAGCCUUUGUAUGUCUGCCAGUGCUACAAACUAUUUGAAUGAGAGAUCUGAAAAUACAUAGCACAUCGUAUGUCCACAGUUGUGAUGAUGGUAGGUGCAGAGUCUUGGCCUGUUCAUUACAUAAUUUGAAAGCAUGUAGAGCUUCAGGUUUAUGGUUCAGUAUAUCAUUGCAAAGUAGUUUAUGGCUCAGUAUAUCACUGCAGGUUCCUUACACCGUCAAAUUUCAAUGUUUUUGUAUUUUUGUCGAUGGAACCAUGUUCUUUGACUAUAAAGUAGCAGAGAUUUAUUUUCUUAUCAAUUCUAAUCCCUUUUUGAUGCAUUGCAGGUUUGCUAUCAAACUCUCAAAAAAGAAAAAACAACUUUACUCUGUUUUUUGGAGAACCUUCCUGUAGAGUACCUCGACAGAGACAAAUAUGCGAUCAAGGAUAUAUUUGAUCGAUUUUCACGCAAAACUUGGAGGAUAUUUUUGCAGGUUCGUUGCUUGCUUUAUUGUUUUCUUACUUUCCAUUCUUCAAGACAAUAUCUUCCUAGCAUUGCUCUAUAAAUUUUAAUCCAUCUUUUUGUUCUUUUGAUUAUGAUGGCAUACUCAUCCUGUUUAAUCCAAGCAAGGGCCUUCAUGUUUGUAGAUAGUUUGGUGCUCUCAUGGUUAUUUUUGUAGUGAUUUUCCUUCUAUUCAUUAUUUGGUAACCAUCUACUGCAGCUCAGCUAUUGUCCAGCUGCUGACCUUAUGGCGAGUGAUUGAUGGUGCAUGUUUUCCUAUUAGUUUCUCUCUAUGCCAAUGUCUGAAUUUUAUCUUGCCGUUUUGCAUUUCUACAGGCCUUUCAUUCUCACUGUGAUUCCCCGAGAUGCGCUAUUAUUAGGCAUCCACUUUCUAAUAAAAAUUUGGCAGUCAACUUGAAAAGAGUAGUUUAUCUAGAUACAGCAACCUUCCUUGCUUUUGCAAAUAAUACUUUAUGGUUGACACUAUAGUCUAUUCCUGCCAAAUAUUUACACGUUAGUAUAACCAGAAAGUCAGAUGAUCGUUCCAUGUUGGUUAGCCGUGAUAAAUCAAAUUUCUAGAGUAGCAGAUGAUUCAUGUCAGGUUUCUUUUACAGAUUGAAAUAUGUCUUGACUCUGAAAUAAGUAGUACAACGUCCGGUUCUGCAUAGCUGAAAGCAUACUGUGGAAAAUGGGACAGCCUUCUAAAGCUCUGAAACUACUAUUUGUUGUGUGAUCUGUAUCCCCUUUUCAUACUCUGUAUAUGCUUUCUACUUACUAGGAAAAAGUGCGUGAGAACGAUGGCCUAGAGGAUGUAAAUUGCACUCAAAUAUAUGCAGGUUUCUUGCCAUACUAACUGUGCCACUAUUGUAUUUCAGGUGCUUCUUCUGUAACUUAGUGUAUUUGGCUCUUCUCAUUUCCUGGCGAGCUUUUUAGUCUGUACAGUUGAAUCGUUGGAAGUUGUUCUCUACUAUCUAUAGAGGUUUUAUCCAAAGUAUUUGCUACCUGACUUGCUUUUUUGAAAUACACCGUCCUGAUAGACAUAUUUCCAUGGGAUUUUAGAAAAAUAUAUGUGAAUUUGCAUACAUUUUCUAAUUUUCUAUCUUUACUUAUCCAUGCUUCCCCAUAAAUAAAUAGCAGGCUCAACAAAAAUGAAUGUUCGCUUGUGUUCAAAUUUCAAGGAAGUGUGCUUCACGCUUCUCUUUCUGCAAUAUGUUUCAGAGUAUAUGAUUUGAUUUUCCUACUUUCUCAGUUACAAUACUGUGUACUUCAUUCCUAGCUUUGCUUUAGGAAAUAGGUAUGCAGGUUAUCGAAAGCUCCAUUUUUCUCCAUUAUAUAGAUUAUAUAGCUUUGUGAUCGAAGGUAGGUUGUCACAUAGGGGAUGUUGCUUGUGAAAGUUAUAUACAGCCAUGUGUCCCUGACAAAAUAAUCGCAGCUCAUGUCAAAAGGAUCAGGGAACCUCAACCAUUUUUUCUGAAACAUGUCUCAGCUCAUGUUCCUACUUUCCCAGCUACACUACUACGUACUUCAUUCUUACCUUCGCUUUUGGAAGUUACAUUCUUUCUUUUCCCUACACUUGCUAACGAUAUUGGCGAAGUAAUCCCCACUUCAGAUUUCCCAUUGAAUGAAUAACUAAUUUAGAUUGUUCAAAAUUUGUAGGUAGAUGAGUAGGAGCAAGGCAUCACACUCCAGCUCUGAGAAGAAAAGGAUAUGAAGACAAAGAUAGAUGAGUGUUCUGGUCCGACGCAAAAACAUUUUGCGUGUAAUAAUGAACUGUAAUUUACCACAAUCUCUCUAAAACAGGCCUACUUAUUACCAGUCCGUUGCUUGCUUUUGUAUUAGGAAGUAUGACUCAGUCAUAUAUAUUUACAUUCACGUUGUUUAGUUAUGGUUUGUAUGCAUGAAAAUACCAUUUUAAUCGAGCUUGAAAAUUCUUUUGUGUAGUGAAAUUGUAUCUAGCAGUUUGUAAAGGGCAAAUGAAACACAUUUCAAAUAACUCUUUAGUCUAAA